UACAGAGGGGGCAAGCGUUGUUCGGAAUUACUGGGCGUAAAGGGCGCGUAGGCGCCUCUAAGUCGAACGUGAAAUCCCCGGGCUCAACCCGGGAACUGCGUCCGAUACUGGAAGGCUUGAAUCCGGGAGAGGGAUGCGGAAUUCCAGGUGUAGCGGUGAAAUGCGUAGAUAUCUGGAGGAACACCGGUGGCGAAGGCGGCAAUCCUGGACCGGCAUUGACGCUGAGGCGCGAAAGCCAGGGGAGCAAAGCGGG
rnacentral:rRNA from 1 species